GGUAAGAUGGCCGAGAACUAGGUGGCGGAUUGUAGCUCCGUACACAGAGGUUAAAUUCCUCUUCUUUCCA
rnacentral:tRNA from 1 species